UACGGAGGGUGCAAGCGUUAUCCGGAUUCACUGGGUUUAAAGGGUGCGUAGGUGGGCUAGUAAGUCCGUGGUGAAAUCCCUGAGCUUAACUUGGGAACUGCCAUUGAUACUAUUAGUCUUGAAUAUCGUGGAGGUAAGCGGAAUAUGUCAUGUAGCGGUGAAAUGCUUAGAUAUGACAUAGAACACCAAUUGCGAAGGCAGCUCGCUACACGAAUAUUGACUCUGAGGCACGAAAGCGUGGGGAUCAAACAGG
rnacentral:rRNA from 1 species